UGCCAGCCUCCUCGGUAAUACUGAGUGGGUUAUCGUGGUUCGGAAUUACUGGGCGUAAAGCGUACGUAGGCGGAUCAGAAAGUAUGGGGUGAAAUCCCGAGGCUCAGCCUCGGAACUGCCUCAUAAACUCCUGGUCUUGAGUUCGAGAGAGGUGAGUGGAAUUCCAAGUGUAGAGGUGAAAUUCGUAGAUAUUUGGAGGAACACCAGUGGCGAAGGCGGCUCACUGGCUCGAUACUGACGCUGAGGUACGAAAGUGUGGGGAGCAAACAGGAUUAGAUA
rnacentral:rRNA from 1 species